GGGGAGUGUGACAAGGGCUGAAGGAAGCAGAUGGAAGAGAGCUGGCCCAUGGAAAGGCAGUGUUGGUAAGUCCCUCCUGCAAGCCAGCUCAAGGACCGUUCAGAAAGCAGCUCCAAGUGUUUCCAGCAUGGUGCCCAUGAAUAAUUAACCCAAACAAAGCAACAAACAGUGUUUCCUCAUCAGCGUGCCAUGUGGACCCAGCUGCCAACGGAGGAGGAGUGUGGUGAGACUGACUCAGCUCCUGAGAGCAAUGGAUCAGUGAAAUGCCCAGGAAAAGGGAAUUUCUGCCCGGGCAAUGGAGCUGAGGUGGGCUUUGCUUAGGGCCCCAGAUGGGACAUGGGACAUCCCAGCCUCCUCCUCAGGAUUCUGCAUGCAGUUGCUGCCUUUCUUCAGAGCAGGAGGAGCUGGUUUGGUUGCUGUCCUUCAAAUGAUGCAUCUCAUCACAUGGGAAAGAGUAGGAAAAAACCACCUAGAAAGAGCCACAGGACCAGCAUAAAAAGAGGUAAAACCAACUGGAUCUAUUUGAGGCAUUUCUGCUUUUUUCCUCUGGGCCACAACCCAGUGCAGGACACUUGGGAACAGGGGCUGUGCUCUGAGUGGGUGGAAGCCACUUUUUAAAGUGGAAUUUAGAUGUUGGGGGU
rnacentral:lncRNA from 1 species